rnacentral:rRNA from 1 species
UACGUAGGGAGCAAGCGUUGUCCGGAUUUACUGGGUGUAAAGGGUGCGUAGGCGGCAGAGCAAGUCAGAUGUGAAAUCCGUGGGCUUAACCCACGAACUGCAUUUGAAACUGUUUUGCUUGAGUGAAGUAGAGGCAGGCGGAAUUCCCUGUGUAGCGGUGAAAUGCGUAGAGAUAGGGAGGAACACCAGUGGCGAAGGCGGCUUGCUGGACACUAACUGACGCUGAGGAGCGAAAGCGUGGGGAGCAAACAGG